rnacentral:sRNA from 1 species
CGAAUUUCGUCAGGGUAUCCUCCUCCCACCCUGACGGAUACGACCGACCAUCUCCUCCUCCCGAUAGUCGGUCGACCCAAACGACACCCGCCGGACCUCCUCCCCCGGCGGGUGUUGUUG